UACGUAGGGUGCGAGCGUUAAUCGGAAUUACUGGGCGUAAAGCGUGCGCAGGCGGUUCGUUAAGUCAGUUGUGAAAGCCCCGGGCUCAACCUGGGAAUUGCGGUUGAAACUGGCGAACUAGAAUCUGGCAGAGGGGGGUGGAAUUCCACGUGUAGCAGUGAAAUGCGUAGAGAUGUGGAGGAACACCGAUGGCGAAGGCAGCCCCCGGGGCUGAGAUUGACGCUCAGGCACGAAAGCGUGGGGAGCAAACAGG
rnacentral:rRNA from 1 species